rnacentral:rRNA from 1 species
CAAUAGCGUAUAUUAAAGUUGUUGCAGUUAAAAAGCUCGUAGUUGGAUUUCUGGUAGGAGUGACCGUUCCGAACUUGAUUGUUCGUGUAUUGUGUUUUCUCCAGCCAUCCUUGUGGAGAACUUUUCUUGCAUUAAUUUGUAGGGAUUGGGACCCGCAUCGUUUACUGUGAAAAAAUUAGAGUGUUUAAAGCAGGCAAUCGCUUGAAUACAUUAGCAUGGAAUAAUAAGAUAGGACUUUGGUACUAUUUUGUUGGUUUGCAUACCAAAUUAAUGAUCAACAGGAACAGUUUGAGGAUAUUCGUAUGAACAUGUCAGAGGUGAAAUUCUUGGAUUUUGAUCAGACGAACUACUGCGAAAGCAUUUAUCAAGGAUGUUUNCAUUAA